GUGUGACCAGGCAUGCGCUCGCAUCUGAGAACCAACCGACGCUGAGCAGGGAGCGGAUGAAGAAGCGUUUGGUGGCAUCUGCGAACUCCCGACCACUCCGCUUACUAUUGGCAACGGAAAGACGGUAGCCUCGACAGUUACAGCGGACACCUGACACUCAGCAACAGAAGGCCAACAUAAUACAUUUAGCUGUAAAAAGCAACAACGGUCUUUGCUGGAUAAAGACAGCAUUCACACAUAAGGACGAACGCCGGUGCUGAAGCUCAGCUGCGACUAGGGAGGUGUAGACGGCAAUACUCAGAUCUCAUUUGUCUGUGAUGAGAAUCGCCAUCCACCAGAGACCUAAGGUGUCACUCGGCUGUGUGCUUGGGUCAGUGCACCCCCGAUUUUAACACUAUUCAGUAUGUGUGCUGGGGUCCAUCUCCCAACCCCACAACCUUCUCACUGAGAGGGCUGAACCUGUCAGGUGCAGAACUGGUUGCCUGAUUUCCGGUCGUCGCUGGGUUAAAAAAAGAAACAACUACAGAGAUAGCAGCUGUAGAUCCGAGAUGGGUGACUCCAAAUAUAACAUUGUCAAGUAGAAAUAUAUUAAACCAAAUACAGUUAAUGUUUGACUUUGUGAUGCUCCUUUGACUGUAAACAUCUCAGUAUAUAUUUAGUCUGAAAUACUGCAAAUAGAAGUAAAUGUGUUGAAGAUUAACAAAACCAAA
ensembl:lncRNA